UACAGAGGGGGCAAGCGUUGUUCGGAAUUACUGGGCGUAAAGAGCUCGUAGGUGGUUUGUCGCGUUGUUCGUGAAAACUCACAGCUCAACUGUGGGCGUGCGGGCGAUACGGGCAGACUAGAGUACUGCAGGGGAGACUGGAAUUCCUGGUGUAGCGGUGGAAUGCGCAGAUAUCAGGAGGAACACCGGUGGCGAAGGCGGGUCUCUGGGCAGUAACUGACGCUGAGGAGCGAAAGCGUGGGGAGCGAACAGG
rnacentral:rRNA from 1 species